UCUGUUCCCAUUUCAUUUUCUGAUUGGCCUUAAUAGGACCUUCACACAUCUGUAGUGCGUGAGUGAUAUGCUGGGAGAUGCCAGUUCAGCUGUGUGUAUUUAACAUGGGUGGAAAUUCUGCUGCAAAAUGAGGCCCAGAUGACAAGUCUGUGAGAACUCAUGGAUAAUUUUCAGGCAUCAGGGCUGUGGGUGCUGUGUGCUUCUGAGCCCACACAGCUCUUCAAGAUCAGAUACUGAUGGAACCACCUGACACAGGUUAUGAAGACGUCUGUCUUAUGUUUUGGAUAUCUUUCAGAAAAAUACUCCAACCUUUUAGAAUGACAUUACACCUUUACAGCAAGACUUCAGCUGGUGUGCUGUCCACCACAGAUCUACAGAAAGCUGUUUGGAAAGGAACCUCAAGUGUCCCCAUAAUAUUUCAUAUGAAAUUCUGUGAUGUAGUCUUCUUUGCAAUGUGAUAUGAUCCUUACAAGUUUUUAACAGGGAAGAGUUUUCCAGAAAAAGGUAGACAAAUGCAAAAAGCAGUCCAGUGACUUGACACUGAAGGAUGAGAAUUUCAGGGUAAGAUAAAUAUGAUAUACAUUCUUGUCCAUGAAAAUAGCCAUUGAAACUACUUACCUAAGCAACUCUCCAUCAGUUGAGAUGUUUGAAACAAAAAGUGAAUGUAUUUUUAAAAGGUAAUUUAAAGAUAAAUCAGAAGAUGCUGUUCCGUUGAUGGAACAACCAAAUGCAAUUGCUUGGCCUAUCUUAUGGAAAAGCCUAGACUACAGUAUUGUAGUGGAUCCUCUGGGCUUUAAGAUCUCUGGAAACAUCAUCAGUGCCUUGUGUUUACAGGAGUUUAGUCUUUGUUUUACCUCUUCUGGUUUUAAUAGGCUGAUAUUCAGCUUUUAGCCACAUGUAGCCUCCUAAUGUCUAGAAGUGUCUGUGUUGAACAGUCUCCUUCCUUCUGUAUAAAGGGCGUCAUCAAUGGAAAAAUUUGCUCUUUUGAAAAAAUACUGAUCCAGACAGAGAACAAAAUAUGGUUCUAUUUAGCCCACUGAGAUGAUGACAUUUUCCUCUCAGUUUUCUCAGUAAGUGAUGUUUCAACAUCCUCUGACAGAAAAAGGAAAACAAACUUUCAGAAAACCUGCCUCUCACCAGCUGGCAGAUCCCUACUGGAAACUGGGUUGCAAAGCUCGCUGUGGCUUCCUUGAGCUACAAAAGAAAUGGUAGAUGAGUGACUGAGGCCAUGUGUGUUUUAUGUCCAGAAAACAUCCCUCUUGUAGCAUUGGAGACAUGACAAAUGGAUGUUUGGUGGGGGAGGGAUCUUUGUUUAUGUCUGAAUGGUUUAGACAUUAUAAACUAAAAGGCAUUGUUUGGGCGAUGCAGCCAGCAGUACCAGUGAAAUCAAAGCGUGGUCACUGGAAAUGACAAUCAAGAAGAGCUUCUUCUCAGCAAGAUCUAUGUUUUUUAGAUUAAUGUGAACUCUUGAGCUUUCCUGACAAGCUGAUGAGAGGCCUGUACCCCAAGCAUUCAGCAUCUUAUUCCCUAUCUUGUCCUGCUUUACAUCUGUUCUCAUGUGAAACAGGUGAUCACUUGUAUCUGACUGCAUUUGACAUGGUUGGAUUUACAUCCCAGCUGCAAGGUAGCAAUCGAUAGUCCUCCACAAACUGAGGAGCUUUCACAAAAAUAAAACCAUUCUUAUUUCUUCUCA
rnacentral:lncRNA from 1 species